rnacentral:rRNA from 1 species
UACGUAGGGAGCGAGCGUUGUCCGGAUUUACUGGGUGUAAAGGGCGUGCAGCCGGGCUGGCAAGUCAGGCGUGAAAUCCCAGGGCUUAACCCUGGAACUGCGUUUGAAACUGCUGGUCUUGAGUACCGGAGAGGUUAUCGGAAUUCCUUGUGUAGCGGUGAAAUGCGUAGAUAUAAGGAAGAACACCAGUGGCGAAGGCGGAUAACUGGACGGCAACUGACGGUGAGGCGCGAAAGCGUGGGGAGCAAACAGG